rnacentral:tRNA from 1 species
AGGGUAGAAGGUUAAAUUGAUUGAACUCACUCUUCUGCAAAGAGUGGAAGCUAUAAGCAAAUAGCCUACCUUA